UCCAGCCCUAGGAAAUAAUCACGUUAUUUGUUUUGAAACCAUGGAAAUCAGAAAAUGUUUACAGGAAAUGCGGUAUGACCGUCUAAAUUCUUCGACUGUUGCCUGACCUAAAUAUGGUGCUUUAACGUAUAAAACAAAUAGCCCGAAUGUACGUAAAACCGAAAUUUACAUUGUACGUUGCCAAAAAAAACUUAACAUAACUGAGCCAAAAAGCAUAUAAAGGGAAACUUGGAAGUUUCGUUUCCAGCAGAAUUUAGUCCACCAACCGAAGAUCAGAGUAGUACUUUUAUUUCUCAGUUCAUAGUGGGCAAGGAGAGGGCAAAAAUGAAGAACCCAACAAAAGCUGCUGUUAUCACGGUCUUAGUGUUCCUUCUCUUGGUAUCCAGCAUUUUUCCCGUCCACUGCCGACCUCAAGGAGAUGCUUGUUCGGAUUGUUGUCUCUCUAAUUGGGCGGAAUGCAUGUCGCAGUGUGAACCGAUGAGCGCUUGUUAUGACUGCAGUCUGGAGUAUUCUACAUGUACAGCAGAAUGUCCUGACUCCUGCUUUAUAUAAACCAUCCACAAGAACAUCAAGUCAACCAUUUUUGAAUCAUUAUGAAAUGUCUCUGGACUUGAAUGUUAAGUUACAAUUGUUAUUUUAUCGCCGAAAAUCUUGCGUAUGAGACGUUGGAAGAUGGGCGCAAGAAACAUGUAUAUAAUUUAGUCCUCAGAUGCAUUGGUGGCAAAGAGUAUCAGGGUUUUUUAAAAACUCUUUUAUCUUUAAUCGAGAUGUCUCGCUCCGACAGACAAGGCAGGCCGGUAAACUGUGCCAAGAGGACUGAAGCAGCGAAAGAGUCUUUUUAUUAUUCUGGAUGUCAAAUUUAUAACUGUUUUAAAAGUAUGUAAAUUUAAUUUGCCAUUUACGUAUAUGGAAUUUUAGCUUUAAUCUAAGUAGUUUUAUAUUUCAAACCUUUUAAAUUAUAAAUUUUUAUCGAUUUUGUUUUCGCAUAUUGUAAGACGUAGUUUUGUAUUUUUAACCUUUUAAACUAUUUUUAUCGAAUUUUUUAGCAUGUUGUAAGAUUAAUAAAUUUCUAAUUUUUAAUUCUAUUAGGGCCUCUACAUGUAUGUGAAUUGGUAGCAGCUUUAUUUAUAGGGCUGACAGAGUUACCCUGAAAAAAUAAAGGUUCACUUAUUUA